AGAGUUUGAUCCUGGCUCAGAACGAACGCUGGCGGCGUGCUUAACACAUGCAAGUCGAACGCGAACGUCUUCUUCGGAAGACUAGUANAGUGGCGCACGGGUGAGUAACGCGUAAGUAAUCUACCACUGCAUCUGGGAUAACCCACCGAAAGGUGUGCUAAUACCGGAUACGUUUAUAGCUAUGCGAAUAGUUAUAAAGAAAGAUGGCCUCUUUUUUAAGCUAUUGUGCAGUGAGGAGCUUGCGUACCAUUAGCUAGUUGGUGGGGUAACGGCCUACCAAGGCGACGAUGGUUAGCGGGUCUGAGAGGAUGAUCCGCCACACUGGAACUGGAACACGGACCAGACUCCUACGGGAGGCAGCAGUGAGGAAUAUUGCGCAAUGGGGGAAACCCUGACGCAGCGACGCCGCGUGGAUGAUGAAGGCUUUCGAGUCGUAAA
rnacentral:rRNA from 1 species